AGAGAUAGAUAAAUAGACCGGCACGAAGGCACGACACAGGCAUGGAUAUAGAUAAAGAUAGAUCGUGUAUUAAACAAGAUAGGAGACGUAUGAACAUGUACAACUGAUAGAUAACGAAAUGAUGUAUGAACAGAUAUGAAUUAGCAUGGAGUUCCGUCCACGUCAACUAGGGUUUAGGGGGUUUCAACCCUGCCGAUCGCGAGGAAGGUAGCGGAGGCCUGCUGCUGUACAGAUGGUGACCGAGGCGAUGCGGAAGAUCACAGCGGCCGACGUUAUCAUGGUCGGCCAGGGUAGAGCUGGUCAUGGCAAUGGUGCCCCCAAGUCAUGAUCGGCGAAAAGGGGCUCCGACGAGUGGCACAAACUGGCUGCAGCAUCCCUGCACAGUGAGGUUCACGGCACGAAGGCCAGUCUCUGCGAGGCGAACGCAAGAAGGGGAAAACUUUGGUCUUGGCGAGGCUCACCGGUGCUGACGGCGCCACGGGCUUGGCGAGAUCGACGCGGCAAGGUCGUGGUUGUCACUACCGGUGCGGCGUCCGCGCGCGACGUCGGGGUUCGGGGCAGAGGUGCUUGACGCGGUGGCGAAUGCGCGCUCCCGGCCACGGCGGAGUCCGUGCGUGUCGAGACGGGCGCUCGGGCUUGGCACAGUCGACCUCGCGAUGAGGUGAUCGUGGACAGCACGACAUCAUGGACGACGUCGGGGUGGUCCUCUGCUCACGGUGCUGUGCUCGAAGGCGAGGACGGGGCUGUGGACGCCGCGUGCAGCACUGCGUCGGGGUCGCGGGCACGUUAAAGGCGAGGCCGACACGGCGUCGCGGUGGCUCAGCUCGACGGGCAUCAGCAGGGCGAGGCCGGUGGUGGUGCGGGCGCGGACGUCGUGGGCUCCUGGUUACCGUGGCGAGGACGUGGACGCGGUCGAAGCUCGGCGCGGCGGGCGGCUCCGAUGCGGCAUGGGAUGGAGCUCCGGGUCAUGGCCGAGGCGAGGGCGAGGCGUGUCGCGGCCACGGCAUGCGGACGACGGCGUCGCGGGGUCGGGGCUCGGCGCGGCGAGGGCGCAGAGCUCCUGCUCGACGGCGAGGGUCGCGGGGCGAUGGGGCACGAGCACGGCGCCGGGGUCGUGGGUGCGGCUCGGCGGUGGUCGUCGUGGUUGGCAAGGUUGUGUGCGCGGGCGACCGGCGAGGCCGGCACGGCGCCGUCGCGGCUCUAGUGCGGCGGCUGCGGAUGAGGGACAGGGAAAGGAUGGCGGCGGCUAACCAUUUUAUAGUGCGAGUAGCUAGGGCUAGGGAGAGCUCCGGCAAUCCUCGGCGUCCGUGUCGAAGACGGGACACGCGGCGCGAAUCACGGGCACGCACGCCAAGGGGAGAGGGCAGGCGCGCGUGCGGCUUGCGGCUUGCCAUCGGGGCGGCGGCGGCGGCUCUGGCUGGGAGCGCUGGCCGUGCGCUAGAGCUAGGGAGACAGGGCAGGCGCGGCUCUGGGCCUGGUGGGCCGCGCGGUGGAAAAGACCAGGGAGGGGCGCUGGGCUAGGAGCGUGAUGUGGCCCGCGGUGUCGCCUGCUGGGCCGAGGCAAGGAGGGGAUAGGGAGCAGGCCAGCUGGGCCACCGGAGAGAGGAGGCAAGGUCAGGUUGGGCCAGCAGGAAGAGAAAAGAAUGGAGAGAAAGAGAGAGAUUCGGCCCAAGAGAAUAGAAAAGGGGUUUUCCACUUCAUAAAAUGAUUGGGAGGGAGGGGAAAAGAGAUAGAGAUGAGUUACCACGAAUUUAAGAUAAUGGGAUUUUGAGAAGAGAAUUUCGACAAGAGCUCGGAAGAAUCAAAGGAGUUUGAGAUGUACUCCAACGAAAAGGUUGAGAAGGGAUUCGCUUAGCCUUUGAGAUAGGCUCAACGAAGACUUGGGAAUACUUGCUACGGAUUUGUGCACUCCAAAAGAAACUCAAAACCCUAUACAAGACCCAACUCAAGACGACUCACGAAUAGAAGCACUUGCCUACAAACAAAUCUAUAUGUAUGCCACGAUUUGUUCGCGGGUUAGGAUCGAGUUAGACCUAAAAACUAUAUGAUUCACACGAUUACAGGAAAAAUUUUAAAAAUCUCGUAUUUUUGGUUUACGUAAAAAUUUGGGAUGUUACAGUCCACCCACCUAACAGGAAUCUCGUCCGCGAGAUUUAGGCGUUGCUUGGCUGGCGAAGAAGCAAGGAUGCUAUUCCCGAAGUUCUUAUUUCUGAGUUGUUUCGCUUUUAGUAUGAUCACUCCACAGACCUUUUCCAAAAUUGGGAGUGAGUCAUGUUUUGGGUGUAUCCAAGGUUUAGUCGCUGGUGUUGGGUAUCCAAAUUCUUACACCGAGGUGAUGGGUAUCCAAGAAUUGCAUCAGGUUUAUGAACAUUUAUGAACAUCCGGCUCUCGAAGUUGAGACUAUUGUUAGUUGGCCUAGAUCAUCGUGCUCGAACCUUCCUGUUCGCUUGCUUGAUACUCUUCCAAGGAGUGACAUCCGGUCAACAAAGGGUAGGGCAGGCUCAAGUUAGCUAGGGUUGUUGGCUUUCACCAGCUGUUUUUCAUGCAUCACUCCUUGCAAAAAGCUUUUGAAAGGAAGGUUUUUCAGAAAAACAGGUUUCAUAAAUGGAGUGAAAGCAGGUUUUACAAGGUCAAAGGGGUUUUAAAGAGAGCUCAAACUGAAAAGAGCCUUUGGAAAGGGUUGAAAUCAACGCAAAUUUUGAAAACCAAAUUCAUUUAUUUUAUUAUUAUUAUUUUCUUUUUAUUAUUAUUAUUAUAUAUAUAUAUAUUUAAGAUUUUUGUUGUAAAAGAUUUCAAAUCAAGAGUCUUUGAAACUCUUUUAGUUUUCUAAAUGAGGUGUUGCUCUCUUUUAUUUGAAUUAUACAAACUAGUUUUGAAAAUGGUUAGAAAUCAUUUUUCUUUUUUUUUUAAGAUAGAGCUUUCGCAAACAAAACACUUUUGAAACUUGAAAGUUUUUUUUUUGCCAAAUUUUUUUUGAAAGGUUGCAAAACAGAAUCCUUUCACAAUGGUUUUGUUUAAUAAAUCACUGGCAUUUUUUUUCCUUUUAAGACAAGGUUGACUUUUGAAAGGAAUUUGGCUCUCGAGUUGGAAUCAAAGGCCUUUAAAACAAAACUGAGCCAAAGAUCUUUGGUUUGAAAACCACUUUGUUGGUUGAAGGUAAAACUUUUGACUUUCAGAAGAGGAUUGGUAACACCUUUUGAAAGAUAACUUGUUUUUAAAUCAUUUCAUAAACUGAGCUUGAAUAAAGUUGAGUUGAGAAAGGGGUUAAAAUUCCUUUCUUUGUGAAAAUGAAAGAUACUGAGAGAGUUUUGAAACACUUUUCCUUUUAAAACCAAGAUGUUUUUUGUAAAAGAGGGGACAUUUUCAAUCAAAAGGAGGGAAACUUUUUCAACCAAAUGGGGCAAUUUUGAAGCCAAGUUUAGUUGGAAGCCAAAAACAGUUUUAAAAUAGGCGGGCAACACAUGAUGCAAUAGCUUUACCUUACUUUUAACUUCGUUAUUCAGGGCCACCUAUCUUGUCUCGUGACGGUCUUAGGUUUAGUCGGCUAUGUUGGACAGAAUCCAGAGUCUUUCUCGCAUAAAACUUGUUCUAUGACCUACACUCAGACAACAAGAAGCCAAAGAAACACAACAACAUAAGAUCCAAGCACUCAAACAACAUUACAACUCCUAAUGCAUAGUGUUGACUUGAGGCGACUCACAGACCUUCAAAGUCUCACACGACUAUCGAUCUAGCGUGGGCGAUAAUGGGGAAAAGAUUCCAAUGGUCAACUUUAUGAAACAGGGUGGUCAGUUAGAAGCAGAAUUCAAGGCGGAGGGGGAAACAAGUGUUAGCAUCUAUAACUCUACAAAAGAUGGAAUGUUUGUCUUCUAAACUAGUGUUUGGUGCUAAGGGUCUCGUCCUAGGGUCAAGUAUGGCUCUGAUACCAACUGAAACGAUCUAGAUUUUUCCAAAAAGGGAAAAAUCCACAUAUUCAAAUUAUAAUAUGAUAAUUCAAAAAUUGAACCAUCUCAUUAUCAUAUAUCAGUCGUUAUCAUAGUCAUACAUCGUGAGAAACAAAAUUACAACACAUUUACUUUACAAAUCUUGGUCAACAAGCCUAUUACAUCGUUUUUCUAGCGGAAACACACACGGGUCUUUAUCAGAGUCGAUGUAGCGCGUCAGCGGUGAAGGCUCCUCCUUCACGGGCAAUCAUCAGAGUCGGCGUAGUUUAUCAACGGGCGUAGUCUUCAUCUUUGAACCAAACUUGAGCGUAGGAGCGAGACCACCUAAUCCUUCUAUUCUCCGUAGUUAUCGUCAUGGGCCACGUGCAAAACCUGCUAAACAAUUUUCAGUACGAUUUGUACUGGCCACUGGCUCCCACCCUAUGCUUUUGCGUAAGCUUUGUGGUAAGUGGAAUGCAAAGGGUAGAUCAAGAGGCCUAUAUAUAUGGCUGUAGUUUUUCCUAUGCAGGUUCAUCAAUAUUAUAAUAAUAAUUCAUCAGGUUUUAAUCCAUCUCAACCACACGUCCAUCCAUCCAUCACAUCACACACAUCUCACCACACUCUCACUCUCUAGGCGGCAAGUACGACUCCCGCUCAUGCCUUGCCUCAACGGCCAAUGCCGGAUCCAACACAAACCCAGGGGAAGGUAGAAGGGACUCCUCUCUCUAGUCAAGUGAAGUUGUACUUAGGAAAGGUCCAUAGCCGACGAAUCGGCAUAUGUAUCGAUCGAUCAACCAAAACUCUGCAGAGGUUUGCACUAACCACAAGGUCACCAUCAUUGACGAAGGCCCUCGUCUAGGCUGAUUCCGGGCUGCCUUCCAACUAAACACGAUGCCACCCUACCACUCAGAGCAGGGACUAUACCGGAGUACCACCGGUACGCUGAGACUAUGAGGCGUAGUACCGGGCCCCAAAGGUCACUACACUGUCUUAGGAGGGUGUGGGUCCUCAUGCCCGUACCUCCCUACACUAUCUGCUAACAACCUAGUAGUAGUGGCACCGCCCUAGCUGGUCGUACAUCCGUCUCCUCCCCAUAAGAGCGAGUGGGGUGCAAGGCUUCCUAAGACCCGGUCCACAGAACAUAUCAGUCCUUAGGGUGACCAAAUAGGACAUCUUCACAAGGGGCCAACCGAUACCCCGCUCGACGGGACAUCCGGCUACCCCGUGCUAAACAACACCUCCCAUCCCGGUGCUUCGUCCCACGAAGACACUCCACUCCGGGACCUCUCCCUGUCUCAUGUACCCGCCACAUGUAUCUCUCAUGGAGAACGCCCAGGUAGCAUUCCCUGGCAAGACUUGUCCCAAGACUCGUCGUAGAUCCUGCUCGGUCGACUCAACCCUCACCACACACCCAAGACACACGCCAAGAUCUCCCCAAAUCUAUUACCAUCUCAUUAUCCAGUUAUUGGCACCUCGUGCCUUAUCCACUCACAUCCAAUCUCCCACAUUGCAUCACAUCACAGAUAUAAUGCGUAGUAGAAGCAGUAGCAAGUAGUACGCAAGCAUCUAACCUAGCAGCGGGUGUGCAAGGGUUAUAGGUUGCAACAAGGCAAUGGCUCACAAGCAUUUCUACCAUGCAACCUAUCACAGUUCAUUUGCAUAAAAGUAAAGCACUAGCAUCUACAUUAUUGCAUGUCUAAUAGGAUUCUACGAGGUUGGGUGAGACGUGGCACCUGUUGAAUGACAUUUCCAAGAUCCUCAGUUCACUUGUAGUUGUACUGAUCCAAGAUCCUCCUUUCCGCAUGUCUUUUCUUCCACGGGUCCCGAUCCGAUCAACGCUAACCGAAGCAACUAACUCGUAAACGACAAUCAAGGCAAAACAAUCAAACCACUAGACCUCGAAAGACUGCGAAAAGAGAUGACAGAACACUGAGGAACAACUACACUAAAAGAGCAACGAAAGGAAAAUGGCUUAGCCCUCUCGGCGGAUGUCCGAUCUCUGGGCUAAAAGAAACGGGAAUAGUUGUUCACUAAGUACAAGCUGGAGUCAGCCUAGCCGGUACUUCCUGGGUUGACUAAGUCAACCUGUACGACUUUAAUAAAUGGCUUAGACCCUAACUUAUCAUAAGCAAACACCAUAGCUAGUGGCCCUUCGAUCCAAGCGUCACGGAGAUCGACGGGGAUGAAAAGGCUACGAGCACGAGAAGUUUCGGUCUCUCUUAACCCAUACACCAUGGUAGUUGGCGAGAGCCAAGAGAGGGUGGAACAAAGAGAGAAGAAAGGGAAAGUGGUCUACUCCUUCCAAUCCACUCGCCAUGGUAAGAGACGGGGUAUCUGAAAGAGUGACACACAAGAACACGAGUGCUCAAACUACUUGUAGUGUACCACAACCUAGGUGCACUAAAUGCACUAAGACAUCACCAGGGUUCUUAGCGGUGCGGCUGUCACCAAGAGAACCAAAGAAAUGCUACGGUCGAAUAGGUACAAGCAUACAAGAGUUUAAACACGAAGAACCAAAAAGACAAGAAAAGACACGGGCUUCACUUUCCAUUGAUCCACUUGCCAUAGCAACGGCGGAAAUCACGAAAUUGGAACAAAACAUCAAACAAGCAAAAAGGAGCUCAAUCCACAUCUUACUGGAUCGACGGGGAUUGAGAACAAGAGAGAAGGAGAAGAAUGGAGUCCAUGUUCUUUCGACCCAACUCAUCAUGGAACGAACGACGGUUGGAUAAAAAGUGAUACGACCCCACGAUCUACUCCAACUCAUAAUGCUUCACGACCUAGGUACUUCUGACUCGGCACAAGGUCAUUCCUAUAGUUCUAGGCGAUGCGGCUGUCAUCGCGGGAACUAGGGGAAAUGCCCAGGUCUAGGUGGCACAAGCAUAUGAGACAGAUAAGAUAAACAUGCGAGAAGCAAGGUAAAGCCCGAUGACCAUGGCGAGGCGACUCGCGGCCAUGAGCUCCACUUAACGAGUUGGUCUCCGACAAUUCCACGAAGGUUGUCCCCUAAUUCAUAUCCCACUCGACUAGGCCACCUAGGUAUCGAGUGUGCGGGUAAGAACUGCGUCGAUAACGACAUCAAGCCCAUGGUGACCACGUCUGAGGGACGAGAACAAGAGCUAUCGACCGUGGCACGACAAAGCCAACUAAACACGAGGAAACGAGUGAUGCUCGACAUCGCGAUCACGGCGGGACGUACCCACGAUCGAAAUGAUCAAACGUACCACGAUUUCCCCGACCGGCUCGAAGGCACGGUCCACAGACGACAGCACACACACACACACAUUCAAGAACCAAUGCACAAAGAACCAUAUUGCCAUGACUAACACAAAGACAAAAUGGAGUAGCACAUUUCCAUAGCGACCAACAGAGAUAGAUAGGGAGAUAGAUAAAUAGACCGGCACGAAGGAACGGCACAAGCAUGGAUAUAGAUAAAGAUAGAUCGUGUAUUAAACAAGAUAGGAGACGUAUGAACACGUACAACUGAUAGAUAACAAAAUGAUGUAUGAACAGAUAUGAAUUAGCAUGGAGUUCCGUCCACGUCAACUAGGGUUUAGGGGGUUUCAACCUUGCCGAUCGCGAGGAAGGUAGCGGAGGCCUGCUGCUGUACAGAUGGUGACCGAGGCGAUGGGGAUGAUCACAGCGGCCGACGUUAUCAUGGUCGGCCAGGGUAGAGCUGGUCACGGCAAUGGUGCUCCCAAGUCACAAUCGGUGAAAAGGGGACACAGGGCUCCGACGAGUGGCACAAACUGGCUGCAGCAUCCCUGCACAGUGAGGUUCACGGCACGAAGGCCGGUCUCAGCGAGGCGAACGCAAGAAGGGGAAAACUUCGGUCUUGGCGAGGCUCACCGGUGCUGACGGCGCCACGGGCUUAGCGAGAUCGACGUGGCAAGGUCGUGGUUGUCACUACCGGUGCGGCGUCCGCGCGCGACGUCGGGGUUCGGGGCAGAGGUGCUUGACGCGGUGGCGAACGCGCGCUCCCGGCCACGGCGGAGUUCGUGCGUGUCGAGACGGGCGCUCGGGCUUGGCACAGUCGACCUCGCGACGAGGUGAUCG
rnacentral:lncRNA from 1 species